rnacentral:lncRNA from 1 species
UCCUUUCCGAGAGUUUCAUACCUCAACUAUUCAUUAUACUUUCUGCCAACCGAAACUAUCACUCCCUUUGUAUUAAAACACAUCUCGAUGCAGAGUUGGCUAAAUAUUUGUUCUCAAUAGACAACAGGCACAUGAGGCCAACUCAACAUCGAGGUGUGUUUUAAAUUUUAAUACAAAGGGAGAGAUAAUUAAGGUAUAAAACUUGCAAAAAGGUGAUUGUUUAGGUAGGUAAAUAGAACAAUGAAUAGUUGAAGUAUGAAAGAUGAAAAGGUGAUAGUAACCAUUAACUCUAUAACUCAUUACUAUUAAAACUUAGAAUUUCUGUUUCUGUUUAGACAACUGAUAAUAUGAGUUCCCUGUAUCGUAAUAGUACAAAGUUUUCACUAGUAUUUUCUUCCCUCAAUUAUUAUAACCAACUAACAAUACUGGUCCAAGUUGAGCUUAGACCACACAUAUUGCACUAAAGUGGAUUGCUAUUUUCUGAAAUUUGAAUUUUUAUACAUCAAAAAUCGAAACUGUAAAGAGUUUUUUGGACUAGUUGUCCUUAUAAACCGCAUACAGAUAACAACAAAUAGUAAGGUGAAUUUAUAACAUGAGAAAAGAUGAUAACUAACCAACUAUAACCAGGUUGUUAAGCUACAUACGUUACACUAUAUGUGAACGUAUAUGUUGGUUGAGACGUUUUUUUUUUUUUUUUUGUAAAAUUGUAUAUUUUAUUGAUCAUCAACUCCUUCUUAAAUAUUGCUAUUACAAUUAAACUUACCAUAAAAAAAAAAAACUAUUUGCUACCAAAAAUAAUAACUAAUCAUUCUCCUACAACAAACAACAAAUAGGAAUCCCAAUUUGACUAGGACUUGUAUGGAAUAAAAAAAAGGAUUAUUCCUUAAAGCAACUUUUAACAGUAUAAUACUUAAAUCCUUUUUGUUACAUGUUAGUAUGAAAGAAACUUACCCCCAUGGGAGGUUGGAGGGGUUGCGGUUAGAGACAACUUGGAUGACUUUUCCAUCGACAGAGAUGCCAUCAGUGCCAACCGGCUUGACGUCAGCCUCAAAGAUACCAAGGGUGGAGUCAUAUUUGAGAAGGUGAGAGGCUUGUUUGACACCACCAGUGUCAUUGAUGGCAAUGACAUCAAGGGGAGAGUCUUUUCUACCAUGCCAACACCUCAAGAAGUUCCUUCCAAUUCUUCCAAAUCCAUUGAUGGCUACUUUCAACUUUGCCUCAGUUACUCCCUUCUUGUAAUUCUUCCCUCCUCCAAUCUACAUUUGAUAAAUCCAGUUUAACAUCAUAAGAAACAUCUUGUUAUACAAUGACCAUAAUUGUUGGAAGUACAAUUUACAACUUUAUACAAUGUUGUCAUUUGUUUUAGGCAUAAUACAUAGAAAGACACCUUAACCUGACUACAACUAGUAACUAAAAAUCCCAACUUUGAAAAUACACAUCUAGACACCUUAACUUGGUUUAAGUUGGCCAUGUAAACACACCAACUUUGAGUAGGCACAUCAAAAUGCACCCCCUUAAAAGGUAAGCAGAUGUGCAUUUUCAAUAUAAGGUGUUCGCAAAACGCACCUUUGUCAAGUUGAAGUGUCUAAGUGGUAAGAAUGAAAGUUUGGAUGCUCAGUUGUCAGUUGAGGCCAAGUUAUAGUGUCUAGAUUUGAUCACAACUAUACAUGACGGAUACAUAUUUUUCUUCAAUCUCUUAUUUUUUAAGGAUUUAACUUAUAUACAUCGAUAAUAUAUAGAUUUCCUACGCUAUCAAUAUAGUUUAUAUGUUGAAAAUAUGUCUCAGAAAUAAAGUAGGAAUAGAUAUUUUUAAUAGUUUUUAAUUAUUAGAGUACUAUGUGACUUAGGAAUAAGUUGUUCCUUUAUUAUUUGAAUAGGAAAUAGUUAUUCAAUUUAAAGUGGAGUGUAGUUAGAAAUUUAGCUAUAAAUACAUGUUUUGAGUUAUUAAUAAAAUAAUUCCCUUUGACAAUACUAUUGCCGUAUUUUAUUUUUCUCCAACUCUUUCUCUGUUAUUUCUCCAAUUUCAAAGCUAAAAUCCAACAAUUGGUAUCAAGAGUCAAUUUUUUUAGGGAUCUGUGAGAGAUGAAUUCUGAAAACAACUUUUCCCAAAUAGCUCCUCCUGUCUUGACGGUGAGAAUUACCAACUUUGAGCAAUAAGAAUGAAGACUUAUCUUGAGGCUUUAAAUUUUUGGGAGGCUAUGGAGGAAGAUUAUGAUGUUGUUCCGCUGCCCGAUAAUCCCACGGUAGCCCAGAUCAAAAGUUAUAAGUAAAAGAAAAUCAGAAAAUCAGAAAAUCAAAGGCAAAAGCAACUUUGUUUGCUAGUGUUUCUCCAAUAAUUUUCAUGAGAAUUAUGGCCUUUAAAUAAACAAAAGAAAUUUGGAAUUAUCUGAAGGAAGAAUAUACUAGAGAUGAAAGAAUACGAGAUAUGAAGGUAUUGAAUCUAAUAAGGGAAUUCGAAUUGCAAAAGAUGAAGGAAUCUGAGACCGUCAAAGAGUACUCAAACCGACUUCUUAGCGUUGUUAACAAGGUAAGAUUGCUUGGCACAAAAUUUAAAGAUUCAAGAAUUGUUAAAAAAAUUCUUGUUACUGUGCCUGAAAGAUACGAAGUAUCAAUAAUUACCUCCGAAAACACAAAAGACCUGUCCAAGAUUACCUUGGCAGAAUUAUUAAAUAUGUUGCAGGUGCAAAAGCAAAGGAGAUUUAUGAGGCAGGAUGGUAUGGUUGAAGGAGCUUUGGCAGCCAACCACAAGACUCAAAGCAAAGAUAAUAAUUUAAGAAAAAAUUACCCACCUUGCCAGCACUGUGGCAAAAUAGGUCAUCCUCCAUUUAAAUGUUGGAAGAGACCAGAUGCACAAUGCAAGAUUUGCAAUCAACUUGGCCAUGAAGCUGUGAUUUGCAAAAAUAAAUCUAAAAAAUAUGAAGCAGAAGCCCAAGUCACCAAAGAAAAAAAAGAAGAAAAUUACUUAUUCGUGGUAACAUCUUCAACCAAGAAAUCUGAUUUUUGGAUGAUUGAUAGUGGUUAUACAAACCACAUGACAUAUGACAAAACUCUUUUUAAAGAGUUUUUGCCUUUGAAAAAUAAGAAAAUCAAAAUUGGGAAUGGUGACUAUAUUCCUGCAGAAAGAAAAGGAAAUAUUGCAAUCAAAAUAAUUUCAAAUGUCCUUUACGUACCAUAUAUUGAUAAAAGUUUGUUAAGUGUUAGCCAGCAAAUGAAAGAAGGAUUUAAAUUACUAUUUGGAGACAAAUAUUGUCGAAUCUUUGAUUUACAAAUUGAUAUGAGGGGCAAAAUUUUCUUAUUUAAUCCAACAGAAGAUGCACAUAAGCCAUGCAAGAACAAAGAUGAAUUGGCAUUCAAGAGGUCAAAUUCAGCCAAAGCCAAGACAAUUUCUGAUCCAAGGAAGAGUGUUGAAAAUAUGUCUCAUAAAUAAAGUAGGAAUAGAUAUUUUUAGUAGUUUUUAAUUAUUAGAGUCCCACGUGACUUAGAAAUUAGUUGUCCCUUUAUUAUUUGAACGGAAAUUAGUUAUCCAAUUUAAAUUGGAGUGUAGUUAGAAAUUUAACUAUAAAUACAUGUUUUGAGUUAUUAAUAAAAUACUUCCCUUUGGCAAUACUAUUGCCGUAUUUUAUUUUUCUCUAACUCUUUCUAUGUUAUUUUUCCAAUUUCAAAGCUAAAAACCAACAGUUUAACCUAUUAUAACAGGUCAGUUAACAUUAUGAUCAUGUUAUUAAUCAAUGGCUAUCACAGAGAUUUACCUAUAUUUACCUUAUUAUGACCUGAUUGUUUAUAUGUUUGUUAAACUGUCAAUAUAACUUCAUCUAUUAUAACAGGUCAAUUAUCAUUUCAACCAUAUUACCUUAUAACUGACCUGAUUGUGUGUAAAUUUUUUAUACCGUCAGUGCACAAAACUUAAACUAUGUUAUUCGCAAGACUCAAUCAAAGUCAUUGAUAUCUAAUGCAGUAUUAGUAGUAGUAGUAAUACUCACAACAGAGGUCUGGAAGACAACAACAGAGAGCAAGUCAUCAUUAGUUUUCCUUCCAAAUGGAAUGGUUGAUGAGGUUCUCAAACCAGAGAAUUCAGAGAAUCCUUUGUUCCUGACCUGCAACAAGCCCAUCAAUUCAAUAAACAAAAACAAACAAAUUCAUAACUAUGCGUCAAUCCCAAACAAGUCGCGAUCAAUUAAUAAUAGUGUGUAGUAUUGUGAGUGAAUGAGGGACCUGGAGAGAAGAGUUGGCUACUGAGAAGGCAGCCGAAGCCAUUGUUGUUUUAGAAAUGCAGCAAUAGCAAUACUGUUUGUGUGUAGUAAACUAGUAAUGAAGAAGAAUUUGGUUUUUUGGUGUGGAAGUUUAUUAUGAAUGAAUGGAUGGAGGGAAGAAAAUGGAUGAGAUUAUGGAUGAUAGCAAGACAGAUAGCCUCUCACUCAAUUGUAUGGCUGUGGUUGCCUAUUUCAGUAUAUGUGUUCUUGGUUCCUAAUGUGCUAGACUUUUUUGUUUUUUUGCAUCAUAUGCUUACUGUUUAUGUUAGACAUCAACGUAUUGGUGUAUUUCCACGAAGUGGGGUAUGGGGGUAAAGUAUACGCAGUUCAUAUCACUAUCUCAGAUGACGUAGAGAGUUUGUCUCCGAUAGACCCCGACUGAGGACAACUGUUUAUAUUAGGCAUAAUACAAUAAUCUGAUGUUCAAAUUUGGCCUCGGCUGACAAGUAAACGCUCUAAUCUUGAGUAUGCAUAUUUAGACACCUCAACUUGUUUCCAUUGUGUCAAUAAAAUUCACUCCCGACAUACGAAAUGAUCAUCUAUACUCUUCCAAGAUUUAUGUGUCGCGUCGCGUCAGCAUCAGGUGUGCACGAGACACAAUGGGACGAGUUUGAGUGUUUAGUUGUACGUUAAGACAAGUUAAAGUGUUUGAAUGUACAGUUGGAGUACUUAUUUGUGAGGUAAAAUUAAAUUUGAGUUUUUAUUUAUGCAUUACGUCUUUAUUUUAUGAUCGAUGUUCAGAACUCAAUGAUCCAACUAUUAUGAGUUCGAUCAUAUGUUUCAUUUUCUUCUUUUAAUUAAUGAGUUUAACUUCUAAAUACAAAUAAAAUAAACUGCUUUUACACUAUAAUGUAAAAAAUAAUUAUAAAUAGUUCUUUCUAACAAGUAAAAUUACUAUAACUAGUGUCUAGAAAUAACUAGUCUGACUAAUUUAGAUUUGGUUAUUUCAUUGUUUUUUAUCAAUGAGUUUAACUAUUGAAUACGGAUAACAAUCUUAUACGCUAUCUAUCGGAUAAAAAGUAACUACAAGUAAUUAUUAUAAAUAGUGAAACUAAUUAAAUGAAAAACAAGGUAAAUAAUUAGAACAUAUCAAGUUAGAUCUUGAUUGAAAUAGAAAAACAAGUUUCAUAAAAUAAUGGUUAUGAUUGUCUUUCCUAUCCUACCCCAACCCUCAGCUCCCCCACCCCACCCCCACACUACCCUCUCCAUUCCGCCUCUAUUAGAGUCCGUUUGAGAUUGCUCUAUUAUAAAAGUGCUUUUAAAAAAAAAAAACAGUUUGUGUUUGGUAAAUUCAUUUGAAAAGUGUUCUUGAUAAUUAAAUUGUGUUUGGAUAAUCUUUUUCAAGAAGUACUUUUUUGAGACAAAUGACCAAAAAAGACAUCUAUCAAUAGAUUUUUAUUACUAAAAUUAAUUUAUUGAGAAAAAUUAUUUUAAAUAUCUAUCAUAAUAUUAUCUUUUUUAAAAUAUUUUUAUGGUGUCAAAAUUUACUACGAAUAAACAGUCAUCAUAUAUAUAUGUAUAUAUAUAUAUUAGUUUAGGUGUAAGCGUCUUGCACGUGUACCUCAUAACUUUAAUGAGUUCAAACAUUACACUAAAUAGGAUAUUUGUUUAAAUAAUAAAGAUGAAUAUAAUAAUUGAAUUUAAUAUCUUUUGAGUAUGUAAACAAUAACAAAAUAAUAGGAUAAUAGAGAUAUCAAAAUAAUACAAUUAAACCUAACCUUUACAUAGACUAACACACAAAAAUUUCUCGGAGCCGAUCAAGAUUCAUCUACGGUAUGUAAACUACCACAAAAUAACAAACUAAUAGAGAUAUUACGAUAAUACAAUUAAGCCUAAUAUUCACCUAAAAAAAUUUUCAAAACCGACUCACAUUCAUCUAGCAUCUGUAAAUUAAAAUAAAAUAAUAAGAUAAUAAGGAUAUCAAAACAAUACAAUUAAACCUAACAUUUACAUAAGAAAUUCUUCAAAGCCAACCGACAUUCAUCUACGACCUGUAAACUAUAAAAAAAAAAUAUAUAAUAGUGAUCACAAAGCUUCAAUUUUUAUCCAAUUAAUUCUUGUCUGAGCGAAAAUUUUGAUCAUAAACAAUAUAUAUAUACAUACAUGUUGAAUUCUAUUAUGCUGACAAAAACAAUGAAGAAGUUGAGGGCUAGAGAAUCAAGCAUCCACCAAUCUAGACAUGCAAUCGAAUCAAGUUAGAUGAUCAUCAAUCAUAUUCUUCCAAUAGACAAACCGGUUUGUUCUCUAAUGUAAUGUACAUCUCAAUAUUUAUAGAAUAUUUUCUUAAUUAAUAGAGUCCUAUUUUAGGAGUAUUUUUCUAAUAGAACAGUAAAAAGGAAAAUAUUAAUUAAUUCUCUUACCAUAUAUUUUAGGAGUCGCAUAUAUUUUAGGAAGUCUAGUAGAAAUAAAAAUAUAAUUAAUUUUCCUACCAUAUAUUUUAGUAGUCUCAUAUAUUUUAGGAAGUCUACUUAAUAUAAUAAAAAUUAAUUAGAUAAUAAUUAAAAAAAUAGUGAAAAGACAGUUUUGUCUAAAGAAGAGUCUUUUAAUGAAUGGUAAAAGUUUAAAUCACUUUUCUAAGGGUUUUCACACUUUUAAUAUAUUAUAGAUAUAUAUUAUAGAUAUNNNNNNNNNNNNNNNNNNNNNNNNNNNNNNNNNNNNNNNNNNNNNNNNNNNNNNNNNNNNNNNNNNNNNNNNNNNNNNNNNNNNNNNNNNNNNNNNNNNNNNNNNNNNNNNNNNNNNNNNNNNNNNNNNNNNNNNNNNNNNNNNNNNNNNNNNNNNNNNNNNNNNNNNNNNNNNNNNNNNNNNNNNNNNNNNNNNNNNNNNNNNNNNNNNNNNNNNNNNNNNNNNNNNNNNNNNNNNNNNNNNNNNNNNNNNNNNNNNNNNNNNNNNNNNNNNNNNNNNNNNNNNNNNNNNNNNNNNNNNNNNNNNNNNUUAAUAAGGUAUAUAUAUAUAUAUAUAUAUAUAUAUAUGUACUUACACACACAUAUAUAUGUUUGAGUGUGGUAGGGAUAUUUUUAUCAUAAAAAAAUAAUUUUCUGUUUCUGCUUCUGCUUAUUUUGAGAAGCAAAUUUUUCUUAUUUUCAAGAAAAAUACUUAUUUUUAAGAAAAAUACUUUCAAGAAAAUUUUCUUAUUUUUUUAUUUUGAGAAGCAAAAAUUCUCUUAUUUUCAAGAAAAUUAAAAAAUACUUAUUUUCAAGAAAAAUACUUUCCGUCAUAUUAAACGCACCCUUCGAGAGAGUAUUUUUUAUGUGCAAUUUCAUUAUUCUUUUCUUAUAUUAAAGGUCUAUAUAAAUUGAUGACAUAGUAGUUAUUUCUAUCCAUAAGAAAUUGCCACCUUGGCACUAAGACUCCCUGCCAUUGGACAGCCAAUGACUAGAAAUCCUUUGUCCAUAUCCAUCUUAUUUAUGUUACCUCAUUUUAAAAAAAUGUAUUUAUUUUCCUUUGGUUCAUAUGAUGCUUCAAAUUAUAUUAUACAUUGAAAGAAACAUCAACAAUUUUUCAAAUUUGUGGCUUCAAAAAGUUUUCUUCCUUCAAAUGGUAUCUAUCCUUAUCCUUUGGAUUUGAAAUAGUGGUGUAUUUGGUAGGAAAGGAAAAUGAUUUUUAAAAAGUAAAUAAUUUAGUAUUUAUUCUCUAAUUAUUUUUAUUUAUUUUGUAAUAUUUGGUAAAUUAAUAUCUUAUUUGUUUGAUCAUAUUAUAUUGCUAUUAUUUUACCAAGUUUCAUAUUGUUGUUUAAUCGUAUUAUAUUAUCAUAUCUUAUUUCUAAUUUCAUAUUAUUUGAUUUAACAACAAAGUUUUUCAUAAAAUACAAUCUCAAUUCAUUUAUUUUUUCUAUGAACUUACAGAUAACAAAUCGUUCAACAAUUACAUAAAUCCGAUCUCCCUAGAAUAAAAUAGUUAUAAGUAAAAAUUGAGUUAGUCAACAUUCAUGAUUGUAGAAAAAAAACCAAUUUCUUUGCAUUUUCAGCUUCCUAAGCUGACUCAGAAUCUAGAAUUAUUGCAAGGUUUCAAUGUUGUUAUAGUUAACCAUGAGAAGUAAUUAAAUCAAUUUUUAUUUUAUUUAUUGUAAUUACUUUGUUGUUGGAAAGAUCAAAUUCAUGUCACUGUUGGACGGUCUGUUAUUCACAAAUUCAAAAGAACAAUAAAGGAACUGAGUUGUAUUUAAUGAAAAACUUUGUUGUUAGAACUAAAUAAUAUGAAAUUUGAGACCAAUAAACAUGAACUGAAGCUGACAUUUAUUCAUAAGACGAGUAUAGAAGAGAUAAACGAUCCACAUUUUGGUUAUGGUGGCAUUAAAAUAAAAUGUUCCUUUUCCUCCACUUUCUGGAGAAUUAUCAUAUUGGUUGGUAAUUGGUUCAAAUAAAAGCAUAUUGUUUUUUAGUAGCUUAUAGAAUCAAUUCUUGAAAAUUUUAUGGAUUCAUCAACUAUUUCUUUUUGGAUAUGCAUAACUAUAGAAUAUUAUCUGAAAUAUUAUUUACUUGGAAGGCAAUAUGUGGGUCGCAUUAAAUGUCUAAUUAAAAAAUUGACUUUUUAUAAGAACAAUAAUAAUUGUCCCUCAAUUCCAAAUUACUCUGGGUAUUCACAAAGAGAAUAAAGGCACAAAUUACUGCCUUCAUUAAUGUCGUUGCCGGACUUUUCUAGCGAUCAAAUACGUCAAAAAAAAAAAAAGUUUAAAUCCUCCUAUAUUCGAGAAAUACACUACAAACGGUCAUCGAAUCAUGUAGAAAAUUGAGAGAAGAAUCAAGUGGGGAACAGAAUUGUACCCGCACAAUUUAUUAAUAAAAUUUUUUAUUGCUUCACAAUUUCUUUCGAAUAGACAAAGUUAUUUAAUUUUUAAAGUAAAAAAGAAUAAAAAUGUCUAAAAGUUAACUAGUUCAUAGUGUUGAACAUAACUUUUUUCUAUUGUGGCCAAAUUGUCAAAUUGUGACCAAAAAAUUGUGGCCAAAACGACUUUUUCCACAUUUUAUUUGUGAUAAGCAAUUUAUUUCUAUCAUUACAAAAUUUGUCGUAAACAGAGCUAUUUUCUUGAAGAAAAAAAUCCUCUACCAUUACUCGAAAAUUAGGUUUAAGCAAUUAGCAUUUUCAUAAUAUGCAUUACAUAAAUUGCCAAGGAAGAUGCAGUGAAUUGCAUUUAUCACAGUGAUAUUAUACAAUGUUUUUCAUAAUAUAGUGUAGAUGCAUGUAUUUCUAGGUAAUUUGAUUGUGAAAUUAUACAUUUCUUCUUAAUCUUCCUAACUAAUUUACAAAAUGUGGCCAAGACUUUUUCAAUUGACAAUACUAAUGAAUGUUGCAAUUCCCCACUAAAGAAGGUACAUUGAAUAAUUACACUUCAUAAAAUCACCCACUAAAGAAGGUACAUUGAAUAAUUACACUUCAUAAAAUCACUUGACCAAGGGUUUAUUGGAAACGUCUCUGCCUGGGGGUAAGGCUCCGUACACAUCACCCUCAUCCUCAGGCCACCCCACGUUGUUGCAAGAUCAAAGUUUUAUUGAUGAUGUUCGACAGUUUUUGUCGAUGGUCUCCACACCCCACUAGUUGUUCUGGCAAUGUUCGGAGGGUCUUUCAGAGAUGUUGCAAGCUGAACUUCCAGUUUUGAAGGGUCCAAAGACAACAUUACGCAGAUAAAAUCAUCUAAAUCAAAGCCGCUUCCUGCAUCUAUGUUAUUAUCAUUGACGUUACCUGAGGAGGGGCCAGCUGAUUCUUCCGUGCUCCGCUCAGCAUCGUCUCCAGAAAUAGUAUCAGAAGUAGACUCCUUUACCUUGUAAUAAGAGUUUUGAUCUAAAUUCAAGAGCCUCUUUAUGCUAUCAAUCGCCGGAUCAAAGACAUCUAAGAAGCCCAUAAUCCAUGACUCAUCAUCGACAACUUCAGUACGCUGUUACACAGGGUAAAAGAGAUCAUGAAAUUUGUCUGUCUUCAAGUACUCUGAAGCUAAGUCAGUUUACCACAUUCAAGAUAGGUGGCCAAUGCCAAAAUGCGCGUCAAAGUGUAAACAAAAAACGUCUAAUGAUGUAAAGAUGGGGAAAGUGUAACAAUGAAUAUCAAGAAUGAGGCUUAACAUGUGGUCAUUGAAGGAAAUGACAUAUAUACCUGUUGAAAGUAGAGGUUACGAAUUUCCUCUGCACGGACAGAGUUACCUUGGUCUUCCUCCAAACUUGCCCAUGUCAUCCAUGUUAUAUAGCUCUGGGAGUUGAUGUUCAGAGACGAUCUAAAUAAUCUUCGAGCAGCUGAUAGAUUUCCAGCUCUUUGCUCCAAAACACCCCAAGCCUACAAAGCACAUUAAAUAGUUAUAGAAUUAUCAGUACAUUUCCUAUGAGAAACAUCGGAUGUAAACAAGAAACUUAACUAUUCAUUAGGACAAAGAACGGAUUAAGAUGCACGUUAGGAAUAAGCGUUUAAGGUUAACUCUCUCAAGCACUAAGAAGACCAGUUCAAGAGUUCACGUCAUCUUUAACUAGCCAUAUAUUAGUGUCCUAGAAUAUAUAACCUAAAUUACUCCUAUUAAUUAGGAAUCAACGUUACCUGAAGACAGCGUGCAGCACUUUCAGUUGUUGCGUUGAUGGAUAGAGCUUUCUGGUAUAGUUCCCGAGCAGUGGAAAUGUUUCCUUCUUUCCACUCCAUCCAACCCCAAGCCUACAUCAGUAUCAAGUUUAGUAAGCAUUUGAUGCACACAUGCAUGUUGAUGAGAAAGGUAGUUGUGGAAGAAUUAGAUUUCCACCACACGUAGAGAAACUAGAAAUAAAAUAUGAAAAUGGGCAUAUCUGAUAGGAAGAAAAAACGAUGUUCCGCCUUCAUUGGAAGGGGGAGUGAAGCAUCAGUGCGAAUGAAAGAUUGGAUUCCUAAAUAGACUAAAAUAACCUACAGUGACACUGCAAGUGGGAGCCGGAGCACAGGUAGAAAAUAGGUCAUAAAUAGAGACUUAGCAACUAAGCUUGUAGUUCUACUCAUCAAACUCAACUUCUCCUUGUUCCCCUAUUGCUCUGACUUUUGAUUUGUCUCGCCAGAAAACGGAUUACUGUCCGUCGAAAGUACAUAGAGCUAGGUAAUUGUAUUGUUCAUUGUUCCUUCUUCAUGUUGUCAAAGUUAUAAAUGUUAUCAUAUUAGACUGUUUCCUGAAAGCAAAUGGAAAAGCUCCACUGACUUCAUCAAUUGCAUUCAUCUCUUUUACUCCCUUCGUUUCAAUUUGUUUGUCUUUACUUUCUUUUUCUAGUCCGUUUCAAAAAAAAUGUCUCUUUCCUUUUUUGGCAACUCUUCAAUUCUAACUUUCCACCUGACAUGUUUAAGAGCCCAAAUUAAAGGUUAUCUUGGUACAUUCCACAUAUCUUUAGUUUAAGACCAAAAUCAGACAAACAAAUUGAAACGGAAGAAGUAAUUGUUUUUUGUUGAGCUAGCCUUUCAUUUUCCAAAGGUUGUAAAUGAUUCCAGUCAACUAUCCUAUUGAAAUUUAAGAACUAAUUAGCAUGGCGGAAAAGAAACAAAAUGCAGGAUCAUUUCCCAACUUCUGUAGGAAUUUUAAUAUUCAAAAGAUAAGUCUUACAAUCCAAACUGGUUGAUGCCUUGGAUCCAGUUGAGAUGCCCUCCGGAAUAAAACUCGCGCGAGGUUUGCAGUGGAGUUCUUAUACUCUAUUAAAGCAAGUGACUGGAGGAGAACAGGAUCUCUAGGAUUCACCAUGUGUCCUAUUGUUAGAAGUUUCCGUCCUUGGUUAAUGUUUCCUAGAUUAGCUUCAAAAACUCCCCACACAUGCCACGCAAACCUAUUUUUCGGACUGGCCUGAACUGCUUUCUGCUUUGUCAGGAAAAUCAAAUACGAGAAAAUAAAUUAACAAAUGGAUCAAAUAAAUAGGCAAUGCUCAAUGAUGAUAGCAAAGGAUCAACUUCAGAAAUACAAACCUCAAACAGCUGCCUAGCAGCACGGUUAUUCUCUAACUGAGCCUCUAAUUGAGCCCAUGCCUACGCAAGAGAAUACAGAAUAACUAUAAGGUAUCCACCAAAGACAUGCGCAUAAACCACUCAAAAAGAGUAGAGACGGAUUGAAGUCUUCGGACAACUCUUACCAGCCAACUAGCACAACUUUUUCGGUUACAUCUUGUUGCUUGCUUGAACAAAUAGCGGGCUCUUUCAUAUCGUUUGGCUUUAGCUUCGAGGAGUGCAAGAGUUUGGUACACAUACUCAUUACCUCCACAAAACUUGAGGCCUUUGCCAAGAAGAUUUCUUGCCUUCUUUAUAUUCCCUUGCUGCAGCUCUAAAACUGCCCAUCCAUGCCAGGCUGCAAUGUGCUUCUUGUCAGCGACUGUCGCAGCAUCAAAAAGUUCUCUAGCUCUCCGUAAAUUACCCAUCCUAUUUUCCAGAAUAGCCCAGCACUAGUCCAAAGGAGUAAGUUUGGUGAACUUUCUGAUACAAAAAAGAUAAGUUGCAAGAAGACAUGUACUAUGUCAUUUGGUUUUCAGCAAGGCACAUAAUCUGCGAAAGGAUGUUCUGAUUCGACCAUCCCAAUAUCUUUACAGUUAAUUAUUUCUUUCCACUAAGAAUAUCUAACAAAUUCAAGGACCAAUCCACUGAUAUAUGUUAGGAGACCGUCUCAUUAUUAUCGAUCAAAUUCUCUUCUUCGAUAUCUGAAAAUUUGAACUUCAUUCAGAGAAGUAUUACAUAAUGACCUUAGAAAAGAUUAUCGCCUGUAUAGCAAGGUGAAUAAUGCAAAACAUCCGAACGCUAGUAUACCAAUCAGUUGUUCCACAUUCCCAAAUUUAUUUUAUAUACGGGGUUAAAGAUCAUUAGGAAACUGAACAUAAUGUACUAUAACGAUCUUUACUGCUUUUACGAAUAUGACAUUCUUUUAGGUUACUAAAUCAUUAGAACUAAACACUAUGUAUUUAAACAACAGAUUCGAUAAACUUGAAAAUCAAAUUAGGCAUUACAGUAUACUAGUAGAGAAACUUUUAAUUACAACAGAUUCCUAUUCAAGCUUGAUAUUAAUGUAUAGUCCGGAAGCAUAGGAGUAGACUAAAUACACUCAUAAACACUGUUACAAACUAACCUGCCAAAUGUAAGGAUUUUCUCCUUGUGUUGCCUGGCAGCCUUUCUCAUAAACAGCUCUGGCUUCAUUUAGUUUUGAUUGCUUACUCAAAAUCUUUCCCAAAGCAACAUAUGAUCUCCCAUCUUCUGGCCAGACAUCAAUACACUCCACACGUAAAAGAUUCAGAAAUCAGUUACAUUAGUAAACGAAUAAUGUAAUGUCCUCUGAAUAUCAAGAAAAGACAAGGAAUGGUAAUCGUUUUUGGAUCAACAAAUGGCUACCUGCUCCAAGAUUUUCUCUGCAUCUGCGUACUGAAACUUUCGAGCCAAAAUCUUUGCCUUAUACAGAGCCAAGUCUAAAUUGACUUUAAGAGGCUUCUCCGCAGAACCAGAUUCCAGCCUCCUUGGCUCAAAAAUUGGCACUUUUUUUGCAAAUUUCUUAAGGCCAGCAUCAAGUGGAAAUGACAAGGAAGACGGUUGCCCUUCCUGGAGAUCGUUUCUUUCUUGAGAAUCCUCAACUUCUCUAAUCUCUUCCCCUUUCUCAUCACCAUCUUCCCCGUAUGGUUCCUUCACCGGCCUACGAACAACAAGUAACUCUUCCAAGGACUUCUUCGUAGUACUGAUCUCAUCAGCAACUUCAUCAUUGUAAAGUCUAUCUUGAGGAUCAAACUUAGAAGAAGAUUGUGAUGGUUCUGGCUUUUCUUCAAGAAGAGGUGAUGAGGAAGACAGCUCACGGGAACAUAAGGGAGGUAAAAUAGGAUGUGAAGGCGAUGGUUGGGAUGUUCUAAAGGGAGAGAAAACAUGAAACUUUGAGGGAUUCUGAUUCUGAGAAUGAUAGAAGAGAGUGAAAUUAGAACUCGAAGGAGAAGUAAAUGAAAAUUGACUCAUUGCUUUUCUUGUAUCUACACUAGGUUACGUAAAAGUGGCAUAUAUUUUAUGGAAGACAAUGGCGAUUUUCAUGUGGUGAAGGAGAAAGCGCAAGAACGUGUAGGGUCAAUGCUAUCCGAUAAUUAGAAGGGAUAGAGACUGUAUCGGUUUCUAUAUAGUAGAUGAAAUAAAUAAGCCGACAAACUUCAAAGCUUAAGAGAAAAUUGGUGAGGAAUAGUUCAAACUUUUCGAUAGUUCAAUGGAUUCUGAGAAACAAGGCUUAUUUACAAAAACUCAAGAUGCGCUCUCACGGUAAAGAUUACCCGUCACACAUGCAUUAAUCUGUAUCGAUCCAAGAGUAUAUCCUGUUACACUGUUACAGAAACAACCCAAGAUUAGAUGGGGCGAUAGUAAUUUUCUUCAUCCUAUGACACUUCCUUUUCAAAACCUCAAAAAAAAUUACAAUAGGCCAAACUAGUCUAAAAUGGGAUGUCUUCUUACAAAUGGAAUUUCUUAGACAUACUAAAGUCACCGUAAAACCCUUUUACGAGGAAUUAACUUAAAUAGCCCCCCACCUAACUGCUUAAACUAAAAAUAGCCGGUGGGUGUAUAAUCAGUGUAUAAUCUAUGUGUACCGGCCAUGAAAAGUAAAACAAUGAAUCUGACUACUUGUGUAAAGAACUUGUUUGCCUUUAUGCUUGGUAAACAAUGUACGUAAGCAAACUAGCUUCUUAUUCUUGUAUCUUCUAGACUACUAUGCUAAAAGAACUCAAAGGGACUAAAGGAAAGAAAUCUGAUCAUCUAAGACGCGUGGAUUCUUCACUUUCAAUGCCGCACCUGUGUCGGAUUCUCCAAAAAUAUAUUAAUUUGGGAGAAUCCGACAAGCACCCGUUGUCAUUUUUGAAGAGUCCGAGCAACAUAGCUGAUCAAUAUCUUAAGCAUUGAAAAACAAAGAGCACUGUUUUCUAAAUUGGAGAAAUGACACAUUAAAUUACUCUGUAAGUUCAAGUGCAAAAGAUUUUUCCAAGCGAAAACAAUAGGGGUAGAGCUAGAGUAUAGCUUACGGCUUUGUUCGAAUCCAGUAGUUUUGAUUCAAAUCCUAUAUUUUUCUUAAGAAACUUAUUGAAUAUCUACAUAUUAUUAACUUAAAACGCAGCUCCCAAACAACAUAAGCUUCAAAUCUUGGCUCUGCCUCUAUAAAAAGAUGGAAAGGACUAAAAGAAAGAAAUCAAAUCAAUGUCUUACACCUUUGAAAACAAUGAUCAUUGUUUCCUAAGUUAUAGAACUGAAAAAUCAAAUUACUUUAGAUAACAUUGUAUAUUGAAAAUCAAUGAACAUGCAGCUACCUAAAAACUACAGUUUGCAAGGGAAAAUAAAACAAAUAAUAUUCUUACAAACUAUUUCUUUUCAAUUAUAAAUUAUUAUUUUCUUAAGUUCAUUAAAAAAAAAAAAAAGGAAGCUACAAUCCUAGUCUGCAAGAACAAAUUCAUCUAAAGUUAAAGUCAUCUCCCUUCUUGGUUUCAAUUUUCUUUAACAAAAAAGAGUGACUUUCUGAGCUACUCCCUCAGUCCCAAUUUACGUGACACAGUUGAAAUCUCAAAAUUCAAACUUUGAAACUUUGAUCUUGAAUUUGACAUAGAAGCUUUUAAAUUUUUUGAAACAAAAUUUAUAUAUUCAAAACUAACUAAAAUAUUAUAAAUUAUAAUAAUUAACAACUUAAAAUAUUUAAAACGAAAAUUGGGUAAAGAAAAAUUUAGUUGAUCCUCGAAAUUUCAACUUUUAUCACAUAAAUUAGUACGGAGGGAGUAGUAGUUGAGUAAUAAUAUGAAAAAUCAACUUACUAACUAUUAGUUGAGUGAUGAUAUGAAAAAUUAAUUGUAUCACAUAAAUUAAGACAGAGGGAGCAGUAACUAUUAGUUGAGUGAAUCAACUUUGAAGUAAAAUGGUAAACUUACUUUUGAAGGGAAAAUCCAAGUUAUAUCCCCGAAAAUAUGAGAAUUUUCUUGUUUCUUGAAUGCCACCUGAGAUGAGAUUGGUGAAUAUGAAUGCAUAGACAAAAUAAUUAGUUGUGUUAGUAAAUGAAAGUGUUUACUGUUUUUUGCAGCAAAGGGGAUGAGAUUGUUGAUGACUUGGAGAUUGCAUUUGGCUCACUCUUUUAACUGUAUGGUUCUGCUAGUUUCAACUUACGUGUAUUCACCUUCGGCCACUUGUCAUUUAUUCUCUUUUUUAAAAAAAAAUAAAAAUUAAGGAUUUCAAUUCUUUUAAAUACAAAUAUUUGACUUGUUAGUUUAUAAUGUUGUAAAAAACCAUCAUUAAAUUUUACGAAAAAAAGGGACUCAUACUCGACUCGACGAGAUAGUAGAAAGCUUAUAUUAAAGAAUAACUAGUUAUUAUUAUUAUUGUUGAUUAAUAUUUAUAAAUUAUAUGUAGUUGAAAGUUUGUAAUCGCAAACGACUAUGGGUAAAAGGAACAUGAAGAUUUGCGAUUUAUUAUGGUAGUGUCUUAGGAUAGUAUGAUGUUCUAUUUAUGAGUUAUGAUUUGCUCAUUUGACAUCAUCGUAUAAAAAUAGGAUAAAAUUUAAUAGUUUUCAUAAUUUAUGAUAUUUUUAUAUUUAUGAGAGAAAAUACAAUUUAAAAAAUUCAAUUGUUUGUCCAAACUAAAUUUUAUAUUCAUAUCAAAUGAAUUUUUAUUAGGAUUACAUAUCACAUGUUCAAACGAAUUAACAUAAAAGACAAAUUAACUCAAAUAGUCAUUCUCAAUCAAUGAGUGAUUCACUUUUAUUUUAUAUGACACUUUUUUAUUUUAAUUAGUUUAAAAAAGAAAAUCACAUUACUAUAUUUAAAAAUAAUUUAUUUAUAAAAUUUUCAUUUUACCCUUGAUGAAAUGAUUAUAACUAUAGAAAUAUCUAAUGAGUGUUUUAUACUACAAAUUUAAAUUUUUCUUAUUUUAAAUAUCGUGUCAAGUUAAAGAAUAUGAUAUAAAAUCGAACGGGGGAGAGAGGGUAUUUAUUUUAUGAAGCAUCUAAGCUCAAUUCACUCGUGUUGAUCAAUUACAAGGGUUACCGCCACUCCUUCAGGAUAUCGUAGUCACUACAUAGGUAAAUCAUAAUUUAAUAAUGUAAUGAUGUAUGUAUAUUAAUUCGAAAAAGUAAACUAUAAAUCUGACCGACUUAAUAUGUAAAGAUCCCAACUCUCUUCUAGCCCAAUCUUUUUAGACUUCAACAAGCCCAACUCACUUUGACUGUUUGGGUGGACAACACAACCCACUAAAACUAGUCCAAAUUAAAAGCCCAUUUCAAACAUACCCGUCUACUUCCCUUGUACCAUCCAAACACACCCUCUCCCUAUUGGCUGAAAUACGAUCUCCUUCUCUGGUGAAAUUGAUUUGUAAGUUCGGUCACAUUUUUUUUUAUUUAGUGAAAAUACAAAAUUAAAUUUCAUUUUUAUAUGAGUAUUUCAUUUUCUAUAUUUAUUAUUUUUAUGAGUUUAUUUGUUAAUUUAUUUGAUUUUAUAUGUGUUAAUGACUCCAAAGUUAUGAUCUUUUUACCAAUCUGAAAAGUAAUACGAAUCAACUUUCUGAUACUUUUUUCUCCAAAAUACAAUAAUUAUUACAAAUUUCAGUUUUUUUAAUUUUUUUUGGUUCUUAUUAAGCUAUACUAAUUAAAAAAAAAAAAGCCACCUUGAUUCUUCAUUUCUCACUAUGAAAAUUAAACUUUUUUAUUUUGUUCCCAUUGAUGGUGUUUGGAUAUGACCUUAGAAAAAAGGAUGUGGAGGGUCACAGAUUAAGGUACAAGAGUAGUAGGUAGCUUGUAGUUUCUUGUGCUUCGAUUAAUGUUACUAUUUGUUGAUUCUUUGUAUCUCGAUUAUCGUAUUUUUUUCUUAUUGUAGUUUCUGUUAUGUUACUAUUUGUGAUAUCUGUUGUUUCUUGUACUUCAUUUUUUCGAUUGUUUUUACCUUGGGUCACGUGACUAGGAGAUCACGGGUUCAAGUCUUGAAAACCAACAACCUCUGAUAGAAAUGCAAGGUAAGGUUGCGUACAAUACACCCUUGUUGUGAGCCCUUCCUUAGACCUGCGUAUAGCGAGAGCUUUAGUUUACCGGGUUGCCCUUUUAGAAGGAGAGCCUUGGAAUAACGGGUAAAGUUGUUGCCAUAUGAUCAGGUGGUCAUGGGUUCAAGCCUUGGAAAUAGUGCAGAAAUGUAAGGUGAGGCUAUGUACAAUAGAUCCUUGUGAUCGGACCCUUCCUCGGAUCCUGUGCAUAGCGGGAGCUUAGUGCACCGGUUUGCCUUUUCCUUGAGCCGAGGGUCUAUCGGAAAUAGCCUCUCUACUUUUGAGGUAGGGGUAAGGUAGCGGACUCUCUACCCAUCCCAUAUCCCUCUUUGUGGAACUAAUGGUGUUUGGACAAGCUCGCUUGCAUCUCGACUAAUUUAUGGGUAGCAUGUCUAGCUCACGAUUAUAGGUUUAGUCUAGUAUUGCAGCUCAGAUUUGAACUUGGGAUUUUUAGGAUUAUACUCACAUGCCGCAGCCACUAGGCCAUCCCCUUGGGCAGGGGCAGACUUAUAGGGAAAUUUAUGGUACCCGUGAAACCAUGGUCUCUCCACCAAAUUAGAUAUUUUAUGUACAUAUUUUCUAGAAUUGAUCUGAUGUUAUCAGUUGGCAUCCAGGCUUCAAAAAGACUAAAUGGUGCACUUGAUUGAAUGCUAAGUUGCUUACCUAAAUAAAGGAGCAGCGAUCAAUUCCCGCUUGAAUCUAACUCGAUUUUCGAGUCACUUACAAAAUCGUUCUAAUGAUCGGUGCCAUAGAUUUCAAUUUCUGGUAUAACUUUUUAAUAAGCUGCCUUAUCUAAAUUAGUCUCCAAUACAGGCCUUUUGUUGAUAUUAAUUUGUUGGAGAACGCAAUAGUUAAUAUCUAUUAACUUGUUUUUUUCAUAAUUAUUAUGUAAUGGAGCGUUAAAGGAAAAGUUAUUGUCAUAAUGAAAAUGUUCCCGAAUAUGCUGGUAACCUGGGACUAUUUCCAAUGGACCUGUCAAUACUCUUCUGAACUGUGUACAUAAUUCUCUUUGGUAAAUAAAAUUACUUACUUACCAAAAAAAGAAAAUGUGCGCGAAUGAAGAGAAAUGGUUACGAAGUAUCCACAUUGUGGAUACCGACUAGUUUGAAGGUGUUUAUGGUGAUUGAUUGAAUAUUUACGAGAGUGCGAGACUAAUAUCUAAAACUCUGUACUGCCCCAAAAUCCCCGUGAUGAUGUUUGACCAGGAGUUGUGAGGGUUAAGGGGUUACUAUGAUAUCUAAGGUUACUUAGAGUAAGAGAUUGUCUGAGCUGAUAUUGGAGACGAACUGACAUUCUGAGAAUGAACUUGUGUAUAAUGCACAUAUAGUAUCUAAAUUUUGUUAUUUCCUUUAAUGUGAUGUCUUUGUUUCUGAAUGUUGCCCACAUAAAUUUGCAGGAAAUGUCAUUCUUAAAGGAUAUUCUCGUUGAUUCUGAGGCUCAUUCUUUGGUGCUAAUUUUACAGAGCUCAUCAACAUUUUCAGGUUUGGAGUUGAAAUUUGAAACAUAGUGUGUCAUGAUUUCAAGCCUUUGAUGACUCAGACUGAGAUCUCAUUUUCGUUGUUUUAACAAGAGAGUUGUUUGACUUAAUUCGCAUGAAAUGGCAGAGCUUUUUGGAUAUACAGCAUGCAGACAGUUAUUGCAAAUGUUAGUUUCAAUAAUAUUCUUCCAUGUUUCCGAGUACAUUCUGGCACUUGCCAUUCAUGGGAAGUCCAACGUAUCUCUUAAGUCACUUUUGAUAAGCAAACAUUAUCUUCUGGCGAUGAUUUGCUCCUUGAUAGAGUACCUUAUUGAAAUCUAUUUCUUUCCUGGUUUAAAGGAAUAUUGGUGGAUAAGUAAUUUGGGCCUUGCAUUGGUUGUUCUCGGAGAAAUCAUGAGGAAGUUAGCAAUUGUGACAGCAGGCCGAGCCUUCACUCACCUUAUAAAGGUUUAUCACGAGGAAGAUCAUCAGUUGGUUACGAAUGGGAUCUAUAGAUUUGUCCGGCAUCCUGGUUAUUGUGGUUUCUUUAUCUGGUCCAUUGGUACUCAAAUAAUGCUCUGUAAUCCAUUAUCAACCGUUGGAUUUGCAGUUGUUGUGUGGACAUUCUUCUCUAGAAGAAUACCUUACGAGGAAUUUUUCCUCAAGCAGUUCUUCGGUUCUGACUACGAGGAGUAUAUGAGAAAAGUUCCUUCUGGUAUUCCACUUGUGAGGUGAUUAUUCAACAAAUCCUUUUCAGGGAUCCAUAUACAUGCCCGGCAGCCAGCGUCCUUGUUCAUUGUGGUUUCCUCAUCUGAUCAUCGGUACUGGAAUAAUGUCGUUUAGGAAUUCUAUUUUCUUACACACUUCUUCAGUUCUCAUGACGUGAAGUUUGGCAGAGGAAGUUCCUCUUAAAUUCACCUUUGUGGAGUGUUUUUACUUAUUUGUAUCAUCAUGUUUUUGUACUCAUGUUGUUGUCAGGUAGCUAGCUGUUCCUGACCUUGUCCAAAAUCAGGUUCUUUGCUAGUUCUUACGGGGAGCUGUAAACUCGUAAUGCUGCAUCUUUUCCGAGACCAGGGGACCUUUUAUCACGAUUUCUGCUCGUAAGUUAACUGUAUCAUGUAGUUGUGGCUGAUGGUGCCAGUGUUGUAUGAACAAAGGGCUUGUAACAUUUUCUGUAAUUUAGUCAAAUUCACAUUAUCUCAACUAUGGUUGAUUUCUUUAUGUUGCCUUUUGUUCAAGCACAGGUUUGGGCUAUUUUGUAGAACUGUACUUAGCUUAGAAAAGGUGAUGAAACUUCUAAGCAUUAAAAAUGCAGAACAUUUAUGUACAGUCAGAUUUUUCGAUAACAGUCAUCAAUCUUUGCAACGACAUUUCACUAUAAUAGCCAAGUUUUCUUUGGACUCUAUUUUCUUAUCGUGUUAUGUUGAAUGUUUGGUAUAACAAGAUCUUGCAUCCUUUGUAAUAAUAUUUCACCAUAAUAGCCAAAUUUUCUUUAGACUCGAUUUUUCAUAUUAUGUUAUAUUAUUCAAACAACUCAUCACUUAUUCCCUCUUCUCCCUCCCAGACUCAAUCCCCUUCGCGAAAAUCCUAGAUUCUUGCCCUGGUGGAUGAGUUGUGAGUGGUCGUUCUCAUUGUUAUGCAUUCCCGGAUAUACCAGAGGCAGAGGCUUCCAAUACAGUUUUCACGACCAAGUCCCAACAUGUCAUAAAACACUCAAACAUCCUUAAACCCCAUGUCAAAUGUCAAAAGACACCUCUUUAUUCAAACUACUCAUUCCCUUUUCUUCCUCCCAAACUUAACCCCCUUCAUGAAAAUCCUAGAUUCUUGCAUAGGUAGAGGUGGUGGUAGAGGAGUUACAAGUGAUCACUCUUUUAUUGUUAUGCAUUCCCGAAUAGACUAAAGGCAGAGACUUCCGAUGCAGUUAUCACAACCAAGUCCCAACAUGUCAUAUAUAAACACUCAAACAUCAUUAAACCUCAUGUCAAAUGAUUUGUUUAUUCAAACAACUCAUAACUUAUUCCCUUUUCUCCCUCCCAAACUCAACUCCGUUCGCGAAAAUCCUAGAUUCUUGUAGAGGUGGUUUUCGGGUAGACCAGAGGCAGAGGUUUUGGAUGCACGACCAAGUCCCAACAUGUCAUAAACACUCAAACAUCCUUAAAUCCCAUGUCAAAUGACAAAAGACACUUCUUUACUUAAACAACUCAUAACUUAUUCCCUUUUCUCCCUCCCAAACUCAACCCCCUUCGCAAAAAUCCUGGAUUCUUGCAUUGGUAGAGGUGCACCACGAACCGGGAAAGGUAGCGGUAGAGUUACUCAUUGUUAUGCAUUUCCGAGUAGACCAGAGGCAGAGGCUUCUGAUGCAGUUAUCACAACUAAGUCGCAACGGGUCAUACACACUGUCCAUUGUCGAAUUAUCAAAACCCAUUUUAGCUCAGAGGUUUUCAUAAACAACAAGUUGAUAGACGGUUAUGGGAAAUGUGGGAUGUUAGAGUAUGCGAAGAAGGUGUUUAAUAAAAUGCCUGAGAGAAACACUUUCACUUGGAAUUCAAUGAUAAAUGCAUAUACAGUAUCAAGAUUGAUUUUUGAGGCCGAGGAGCUGUUUUGGUUAAUGCCUGAUCCGGAUCAGUGUUCGUGGAAUUUGAUGGUUUCAAGUUUUGCUCAGUGUGAAUUGUUUGAUUCAUCGAUGGAGUAUUUCAUGAGAAUGCAUAAAGAAGAUUUUGUUUUGAAUGAGUAUGCUUAUGGUAGUGGUUUAAGUGCUUGUGCAGGGUUGAGGGAUUUGAGAAUGGGAAUUCAACUUCAUGGUUCAGUUGCUAAAUCGAGAUAUUCGAGUAGUGUUUACAUGGGUUCUGCGCUUGUUGACAUGUACUCGAAAACGGGUAAUGUGGAUUGUGCAAGAAAGGUGUUUAAUGAGAUGUGUGAGCGUAAUGUGGUGUCAUGGAAUAGUUUGAUUUCUUGUUAUGAGCAAAAUGGGCCGGUGAAGGAGGCGCUUGAGGUAUUUGUUAGGAUGAUGGAGUUAGGGUUUAAACCAGAUGAGAAGACGUUGGCUAGUGUAGUAAGUGCUUGUGCAAGUUUGUGUGCGAUAAGAGAAGGCAAGGAAAUUCAUACACGAAUUGUGAAGUCGGAUAAGCUUAGGGAUGAUCUUAUUAUAUGCAAUGCGUUGGUUGACAUGUAUGCUAAGUUUGGGAAAAUUGCGGAAGCUAGAUGGAUUUUUGAUAAGAUGCCAAUCAGAAGUGUGGUGUCACACACGUGUUUGGUAAGUGGUUAUGCGAGACUUGCAAGUGUGAAGACUGCGAGAGCCAUGUUUAUGGGGAUGAUUGAAAGGAAUGUUGUGUCUUGGAAUGCUCUUAUUGCUGGAUAUACACAGAAUGGGGACAAUGAAGAGGCAUUAAAUCUCUUUCUUAUGCUAAAGAGAGAAUAUGUUUGGCCAACUCAUUAUACGUUUGGGAAUCUUCUCAACGCAUGUGCGAAUUUAGCUGAUCUGAAGCUUGGUAGGCAGGCUCAUGCACAUAUUUUGAAGCAUGGAUUUCGUUUCCAGAAUGGACCCGAGCCUGAUGUUUUUGUGGGAAAUGGUCUAAUAGACAUGUAUAUGAAAUGUGGAUCAGUUGAAGAUGGUAGCUGUGUAUUCACAAAAAUGGUGGAUAGAGACUGGGUUUCAUGGAAUGCCAUAAUAGUUGGAUAUGCACAAAAUGGACAUGCUAUGGAAGCGCUUGAAACUUUCAAGGGUAUGUUAGUAUCCGGAGAGAAGCCAGAUCACGUGACUAUGAUUGGAGUUCUCUGUGCAUGUAGUCAUGUAGGAUUGGUUGAGGAGGGACGUAAAUAUUUCUAUUCCAUGGGCACGGAGUAUGGCUUGACACCGUUGAAGGACCACUAUACAUGCAUGGUUGAUUUACUUGGUAAGGCUGGUCGCUUACCAGAGGCAAAGGAUUUGAUUGAGUCCAUGCCGAUGCCUCCUGAUAGUGUUGUAUGGGGGUCUUUGCUUGCGGCAUGUAAAAUUCACAGGGAAAUUGAGUUGGGAAAGUACGUGGCCGAGAAGCUUUUGGAGAUUGAUCCUACAAAUUCUGGCCCUUAUGUUCUUCUAUCAAACAUGUAUGCUGAACAAGGAAGAUGGCAAGAUGUCAAAAUGGUCCGAAAACUUAUGAGGCAGCGAGGCGUUGUUAAACAGCCUGGCUGCAGUUGGAUUGAAAUACAAAGCGAGGUUCAUGUUUUCAUGGUGAAAGAUAGGAGACACGCGCAGAAAAAAGAGAUUUAUCUGAUAUUGAAUACACUAACUAAAUUUAUGAAGCUCUCUGGCUAUGUACCGAAUGCUAGUCAUUAGGAUGCUGAUGAGGAGCAAGUCAUGUUGGGUUUUUCCUCAUCUGAAGAGUUUGAAGAACCUGUAAUAGCUGCCAUUGCAUGCUAAGUUGCGGGGACCCUUCACUUUCGAUGUUGCACCCAUGUUGGAUUAUCCUAAAAUACACUGCUUUUAGAGAAUCCGACGCAUGCCCGUUGACAUUUCUGAAGAGUCCGAACGACAUAGAUUGCAUGAUGUUCAAGGUGACAUGGAAAUUGCUAAUUCCCUGUACUUGUCUAGAAAGAGUUGCACAACAUCUUUAGCCAUAAUACAUUGAUGGGCACUUUAACUUGGCCUCCGAUGGUAGUUGAACACCCCAACUUUUAUUGUGACCAUCUAGACAUUUCAACUUGAUAUAGGUGCAUCUCGUGAAUACCUUAGCAUAAAAAAUGCACAUCUAGAGUUCUAGACAUAUUUAAGGGGUGCAUUCUCAAAGUUGGGGUGUUUACGCGGCCACUUAAACCAAGUUAAGAUAUUUAGAUGUACAUUUUCAAAACAGGGUUGGGGUGUCUAGUUGUCCAUUGAAAUCAAGUUAAGAUGUCUAUCUAUGUAUUAUGGGUAUUUUUUUUAAUGUAUCCUCCCCAUAUGCCAAGGGAAACAGAGAUCAGAGCACAUUAGCAAAUGUAAUUUAGAAAAUGUUAUCAGAAUGUAUCUCACUUAAACAAAUUUUACGUAUUCAUCUUUAGUGGAUCAUUUUUUUUUUCUCUAUGACAAUUUAACUGUCUGCUUUAGUGGACCCUUAAUCUGGGAUGCUUUGUGCGUUAGACUGCCUUUUAUACCAGUGUAUCAUGAUUUCUUGUUGCUUAGCUUUCUUCUCUGGAGCUAACCUGAUUCGGCUAGACAGCAAAAGAUUCUUUAUUUAAGCUCGUAUACAAAAAUAACAAGAAAAUGCGAAAGAUCCUCUAUAUUUUCACCGAUGUAUAAAUCUCAAAUAUAAUUAACCAACUCAUGAAAAGUAAGAAAACAUAAGAAUUGACAGAGUAGAUUUCACUUUUCCCCGUUUGGCCAUGAAGUAAUAAUUUUCUGGAGUUGGAGUUGAAGUUGGAGUUCUUGUUGAGUUUGGCCAUAAAUAUAAAUUGAGGUUGUUUUUGAAAUUUUGUGAGAGAAAUAGGAGUGAGAAAAGUGAAACUUUUUCAAAAAUAAUUUUCACUAAACUGAAAUAAUUUUUAUGGCCAAACACCACUAAUUUUUAUUUUUUUUACUAAAGUGAAAUAAUUUUAUGAAAAAAGUGAAAAAAAAUUAUGGCCAAAUGCCUACUAAGGGGUCGUUUGGUAGAGUGUAUUGAAAUGUUAAUACAUGUAUUAGUUUAAUGUGUAUUAAUAGUACCUUGUUUGAUAUACCUUUUUACGCGCAUUAGUUAUACACUCUAUUGUGUAUUAAGGUGUGUAUUACUAAUACCUCAAAAUUCAUGACAUUAGUAAUGCAAUGGAUCUAAUGCAUGCAUUAACAUGCUUAAAGACUCUAUUACCCCUCAAAAAAAAUUUGCAUUCUUUCCAACAUAUAUAUUGAGGGUAUUAUGUAAAAAAAAAAUAAAAAAUUUAGAAAUUAUGUAAUUCAUGUUUUUUUUAAUACAUCGAACCAAACACUGCAUAAGCAAAAUAUAAGCAUAACUAAUGCAAGUAUAAUUAACUCAAACAUUACUAAUACAAGCAUUACUAAUACACCAUAUUUUACAUUAUUUUUAUACACUUAACCAAACGAUGCCUAAAUGUACUAAUAAGGUGACUAAUCACAAAAUUUUACCUUACUCUAUAUCAAAAGUCAACUUCACUUUUUAUAGUUUUAAUGCUAUUUUGAUUUUAUAAAUGGAUUGUACUAUACAUUCCAAGUGCAGAAGUACUUGCAGACAAAUGUUGCACUUCCUUACCAAUGCGUAUAAUUAAAGAGGAUUACUUUUUUUAAGAUUACGUAAUAGGAAUUUUAGAACAUGUGCAACAAUUCUUUUUUGAAAUUUAAAUUGAAAGUGCCUAAUAAAAAUAUUUUAUCAUUUGUUCAAAUGUUAAUGAGAACAAGUUAAGUUUCAAGUCUAUUAAGCUUAAAAUUUAGAGGAAAUGAGAUUUCUUGACCAUUUAAAAAUUGAAUUAAAUUUUUUUAUUUUAAAAUUUCUUAUGUAUAAAAAUGAACUACAUCUUACUUCUCGACCAUAAUUCCACAAUCCCAUCAACUUCUUGAAAUUAAGCGCAUCAAAAUCUUUUGUGGGUAAAAUUAAAAAUUAUAAGUGAUUUACAUAAUCAAUUCAAAUUUACUAGGAUUUUGAAUGAAAUAAUUCCUCUAUCUCAUUUUAAUUGAUCAUCUUAUUAUAAAUAUAUGUCCUAAAUUAGUUGUACACUUACUAAAACAAAAUAAAAUUAAUUAAAAAUAAUUAUUUUGCUUUGAAAGCCUAAACAAAUUUAUAAGUCCCAAAUAUUCAUAUGUCCUAGCGAAUUCAUUAAUGAAAGCAUGUUUUUCAUAAAUGAUCUUUUUUAAAAAAAAAUAAAAAUUGGGCUGAAUGCCCUUUAUUAGGAAAACACAAAGGAAAAAUUACAGAAACUAGCAUCCUUAAAACUAUAAUUACAAUAAAUAACAACAUUUUUUUAAAAUUACAACUUAUAGCAAAAGAAUAAUAUUUUACCCACUUCAUAGUAAUAGAAGAAUAUAUAUUUUUCAGUUGUGCAUAUGUAUUUAUGAGUAAUACAUAUAUAUUUGUAUAUGUAUUUAUAGCAACAUUUUACUUAAAUACAAAUACAAUUUGUUAUUUUUCAUAAUUAUGAAACUGUUGCAAUGAAAGUUAUAAUUAAGACUACAGAGUUGCUAUUUCUGAAAUUUUCCCCAACACAAAUGUAUUCAAGACCAUGCCCAAAAGUGGCCUGGCCCAAAUACAACAAAAUAUACUCAAUCAAAGCACUCAAAUUAGGAAAGUGAAAUGCAUUCACUUCUUAAUUUUGCUGAAUUGCUUCUGUUGUAGAAGUCAUCUUUCAUGGCUGCCAAUCUUUUCUUUUUCCAUUUCAAUUAAUAUUUGUCCGUUCAAGUUGUUCAACCGUUGAAAUCUGUGGAUUUUGUGUCAUAAAUGAUCUUGAUAAAUGAUAAAUGAUCUUGAUAUCAUCAAUAUGUAUAAAAAGUAAAUUAUUAACUACUCCCUCUAUCUCAAAUUACCCGUCCUAAAUUUCUUAAUUUGAUUUUCUGUUUUACUUAUCUUUUUCCAUUAAUCAAGAAGAAACAAUUUUUUUUUCAUGUUUUAUUCUUUGUAUUAAUUAUUUUUUCUUUAAAUUAAAAUAUAAACGUCAUUUAAUAUAGGUAUUAUGAUAAACUAACCAUGUUAUUAAUUAUUUUUCUUAAUUAAUAUCAUCUUAAUUUGAGACGAUAAUUUGAAACGAAGGAAGCAUUUUAUUUAUAAUCUUUUAAGUACCCUAAAAUGAAAAUUAAAUAUGAAUUUAAACCCAUAACUUGAGGAAAAACUUAAUCACACCCAACAUAUACAUCAAGCCAAAACAUACAUAUUAUGUUAGAAUGUAAAAUUUAUUUUACUUAAUCAUGAUAAAUUCACAUAUAUUUAAAUGUAUUAAACUAUUCAAUUAUAAUAAAUUAUAUUAACUUAAUAUAAACACCAAAAUUAAAUAAGCUUUUACCUAACUUGAAAAAUAACACCAAAAAAGGAAAUUAUAACUAGGGACCCAAGUACGCCCACGCGAUCGCCCUCCAAUACUAUCUCCAUUUCUUUUUAUUUUAUUCAUUUAGAUUAGACACCUCUCUUAGUAAUUUUUUUAAUAUCUCUUAAUUAAAUUUUAUAUCUCUUUUUUAAAAAAUUAAUAAUCAUUAUAUUUGUUAAAUAAAAAUUGAAUAAAACAAACUGUUCAAAUUAUUUUAAAAGAUAAAGAGUAAGUAUUUAUUUAGAAAUAAUUCAAACAUGACAAAUAAAAAAAAAGAGAGUAAACUGCCACUAUACAACAACAGGCCGAACCCAUCUCAUAUGUUUUAUUUUUUCUUGUGAUGAAAAUUAAGAAAUGUUGGGUGGGUGUAGGUGUAGUAGUAUAUCUCAUCACUCAAGUUUUCACCAAUUCUCCUCCAUUUUCUUCACUGUUUCAUCACCAACAUCUAAUUCUUCCUUCAACAAUUUCAAAAUCAAAUUGAGGAAAAAGAAUAGUAGCAGUGAUACCAGUUCUUAUUUGAGCAAUAAAGUUAGUAAUUUUGGGGCCAAUUGUGUUCGACCCAAAUCUUCAGAUAGUCAAAGCUCUUUGCUUUCUGAAACUUUGAGGUAAUUUAUCAUGAUUUGAGCAAUAAAUGUUGUUACUUUUUUUUUUUUCUGUAAUUUUGAGGUAUUUAUCAUAAAUUUAGUGAUUCUUGAGGCUAAUUUAGGUGUUUAUCAUACAUGUUCUUGUUUGGGUGGUAAAAAUUUAGAUAUUUUUUUGGGUAAUUGUGUGGUACCUAUGGUAGAUUCUUGUUUGAGCAAUGAAGUUAGUUAUUUUGGGGGUCAUUUGUGUUUGACCCAAAUCUUUAAAUAAGCUCAGUUAUCUUUGUGCAAUAAAUGUAGUGAUUUUGGGAGUAAUUUUGAGGUACAUCAUAUAUAUUCUUUUUGAGCAGUAAAUUUAAUUAUUUUUUUUUAAGCUAAUUUUGAUAUAUUUAUCAUAAAUGUUCUUGUUUGGGCAGUAAAAUUUUAGUUAUUAUUGGAUUUUAAACCAAACUUUUACAAUCUUUGAUAUCUAAAAUUCUGUACUUUUUGAACGUUUGAAUUAAUUUAUCAUACUUUUGAGCAGUAAAGGCAGGAGUGACUCAAAGGUAAUACUAUUACCGUCAAACCUCUCUAUACUGUCAACGUUUGUCUGAAAGUUUCAUGAUUGCUAUAGUGAGAUGUUGUUAUAUAUGCAUACUGGCAUUUGACAUUUAAAUCUCAUUUAGCUGUUACAACAAAAGUAUGCAAAACUAGAAAUAAUAUGAACGUAAAAAAGGGCAAAUAUCAGUAACCUUUACUCGUGAAGUUAUGACCUAACUAAUGAGCACCAUUUAAACACAAUCUAUUUCCUUCUAAUUAGAUAUUAGUACUUAAAAUUUACUAUGUGCAUGACAUUAAUGAUGAGUACCAUAAAUAUUGUGGUACUUUAUUUUAUACAUUAUAUAUUAAUUAUCAAAUAUUAUUACAUAAUAUUUGAGUAUGAUUAUUACUGAGGGGUAAUUUAUGUAUAUUGUAUUGUUAUAGUGUCUGUCAUUGUUGUUAUAGUUAUAAUGUUGUUAUAGAGAGAUAAAAUAUAACAUGGAGAAUUGGUUCUUGAAAAACUUCGGCCGUUGUAAUGACAUGUCGGUACAACGAGGGAUUGUUAUAGAGAAGUCAGACUGUAAAACAUUUGUUUUAGACUCCAAAAAAAUUUAAUAGUGAAUUUUAUUGUUUUAAUGUCAUUCAAAACAAUAUUGAAGAUUGUAAAUUAUAAAAGAUACAAAAUUUAAAUAAAAGAAGAAGAAAUAAGAAUUUUUUACUUUUAUCGAAAGUCAUAAUACAUAAACAUGACUUUUAACUUGACACCAAAUUGUAACUAUGCCUUUUAACUUUGCCAGUGCACAAGUAGGCCCUUUAAAUAUAUAAAAGCCGAACAAAAAAACACUUUAAUUUUGCAACUUAUAUGUGUGAAACUCAAUCGCUCCUACGUGGAUUAGUAAUCGACUCAGAUGCUGCCACCUAAUAAAAAAGUCACAUUACAAUUAUGACCUUUAACUUUGCCAGUGCACAAGUAGGCCCUUUAACUAUACAAAAGGUAAACCAAAAACACUUCAAUUCUAACUCUGACGCGCGUGGUUUUGAGUGUAUACACGCAUUUUGUCAGGUAAGAUUGGAGUGUUUUUUGUUCAGCUUUUGUAUAGUUAAUGGCCCUACUUGUGCACUUGUAAAGUUAAAGGUCAUAGUUAUAAUUUGGUGUCAAGUUAAAGGUCCUUUUUAUGUAUUAUGUCGUAUCAAAAAUAUUCUAGAACUUUGAAUUUAAUAACUCAAAUUGUCAUAUUAAUAAAAUAAAUUUUGUACAAUAACGUCAAGGUAAUACAUUACAAAUAAAUGACUAAGUUCUUAUUAAUGUUUUUAAGAAUAAUAUACUAAAAAGUAUGUAAGAAAAAAAAACUUUAAAUUAUUAUUAUAUUUGUGUGUUCGUGCAUAUAUUUAAGACCUUUGACUAGAUCACUGAUUUUUUUGUGAUAUGAGUAAAUGUAGUGAUUUUUGGUAACUGAGCUAUAUGUCAUAUACGAUCUUGCUUGAGCGGUAAAAUUUUAGUUAUUUCGAAAUUUUUCAAUUGAUUGUAUACAUCGUCAAUCUUAUAUAUUUUAUCAUGAAGUUCAUUGUUGAGCAGUAAGCUUAAGUUAUUUUUGACACAAUAUCAUGAAUUAUGAUACAAUGUUGAGAAGAAAGGAUUAAAUAGGAAGAAAGAAAAUUGUUAAAGUAGAAUUUAAAAGUUAGGUAUUACUUUUCAUUGCACCGUUCAUUGUUCACACAAUUAGUUACUACUGUUCCAAGUUGUAGUUAGGUAGUUAUUCUGUUACUUGUUAGCUUAGCUGUCAAUUGCAGUGAAUGAGAUAUAUAAAUAACUGUAAGCUAAUAAUAGCACAAUCUCUGUUCUUCUCUCUUCUUCUUCACUAUUUUCUUGGUUAAUUUCCUAAACUUGGUACCAUCUUCUUUGAAAAUUAUUCUCCUAGAUUAACACAUUUCGCUCAAAUUCCUUGUUCUUGCAUCAAAUUAUCUUCUUUGCACAAUAAAUUUAGUGAUUUUGCGUACUUUUGAGUUAGUUAUCGAAAUAUUCUUGUUUGAGCAAUGAACUUAGUGAUUUUAGUGUCAAUUGUUUUCAACUCAAAUCUUCAGACAUCCAUAGCUCGCUCUUUAUUUUUUGAAAGUUUGAGAUAAGUUUUCAUGAAUUUUCUUCUUUGAGCAGUAAAUUUACUGACUUUUGGAGUAAAUUUGAGGUAUUUAUCAUAGCGGUUCUUACUUGAGCAAUAGAUUUGGUUAUUCUGGGAUUUUUUCGAUUGUGUAACCCAAAUCUUCAGAAUAUUCAAUUCUUUUUUUCCUUUCUGAAAGAUUGUUGCAAUUCGACAUAUCUAUUCUUCUUUGAACAAUAAAUUGCGUAAUUUUGGCCCCAAUAAUGUGGACCAAUAGUAAAAUGGCAUCAUCUGGCGAAUGAGUUAGGGUAGAAGGGUGGGCUAAUCAUUCCAUGCAUUUCAAACCGUGCUUCACUAGCCAUCUGGGAUUUUUGGAUUUUAUGAAAAGAAAUAAGAGUGGAUAUGCUAACAACUCCCUAAACUAUCACUCUUUUUGUAAGUUCCGUAGGACCUAAAUCACCAUGAAUUCAUGUGAAACCCCCUCUGGAGGAAUAUGAACGGUAUGUGAACAUCACACUCCAAAAGUACCUGCAAAAAGUUCCAAGUGACAGUACACAUGGAACCCCUAAACUAUCACCGUUUUACGAGUUUCAUGCCUAAACUAUUGAGUGUUCACAGCACCCUUUGAACUUAUUGUGUCAUGUUAACUCAAUUUUAGAACUUUUUUCAUCUCCAUGCGCCUCUCAACAAGUUAUCCCAAAUAUUUUGCCACAUAUUCAACCAAGGAGUUUUAAUCUAAAGAGUAUUAUAGUUCAGCGGUAACAAGAACACUCAGUAGUUUUGGUAUACAACUUGUAAAAUGGUGAUAGUCUAGAGACUUUUUUAACAUGUUCACUCAAAAAAUAAUUGAGCGCUUUUGAGGUCUGUUUAUCAAUUGUAUUUAAUCCGAACCUUUAGAUAUCCAAACUCCCUGCUUUCUUUUAGUUUGAGGUAAAUUUGACCUCUAUUCACUUGUAUUCCUUAAAACUUUUUUGUCGGGAAGACAAAUGUAUAAAAAGAAGGUUUUUGAAACCUUGAUUUGUAAGCUCGUGAUCCUGAAAAUGGAAUGGGUGAAGGAAAGGUUGGCUGUAGACCUUUUUUAUUACUGAAAUAAGAUGAAAGUGGAAAGUUAGUUAACACUACAAGUUUGGAUCACAUUUUUGACGAAAACAUUAUGUAAAGUUUAUUGCUAUAUCAUAUAAAUAGGGGCCGUACGCUUUUGUGGUUACUUUAACGAGGCCUGGGCAUGCGGGGGAGUGUUAAGUAUCCCACAUCGGAAAAGGGAUGGGUAAUUGGACUCCUUAUAUGGACUUGGACAAUUCUCCCCUCAUGAGCUAGCUUUUGAAGUUGAGUUAGGCCCAAGAUCCAUUUUUUUUUUACAUUACUAAACUGUGGUGUGUUCAGUUUUUACUGUAACUGUAGAUCUAAAAUAAAUAGAUUAUGAUAUUUCUCUCUUAACUGUUUAAAGUUUUAGAUGAAAGGUUCACACAGUGCUGCACACAGUAGAAUAGUUCCACCUGCUUGGCCCAAUAGAAAGAUUCAGGUGCUGCACGCGAAUGAGUGUGUUGUAGACAACAACAACAACAACAACAACAAACCCAGUAUAUUGUAGACGUAAAACAAAUAAUAAGAGUGUCCUCCAUGUAAAAGUAUAAGUUUUACAUGAGAUAGUUACACUUUUAAAUAGUUUCAUCUGGACAUACUACUCGGAGUAGUUUUCAUAUAUGUUUAAUUGAAGCUUACAAAUGCCAGUUUUUCCAUUAAAUCUAAAUGAAAUCUUUUCAUUGUAUUGCAUUGACAUUGUUAUGUCAUUUUUGUAUUUAAGUAUGACUUUCCUUCGAAUCCCGGUACUUAAAUAUGUGUUCUUCACAAUUUUCAUGCAAAGCCAAUCUGGAACAGAUGAGGAGCCUCCAUCAGAAAGAUUGCCCAUUCUUGCAGGUUUGCUCGUACCCAUAUAUUACUUGCAAUUAAAUUAUGAAACUGUAUUACAUGUAUGCUGAAUUUAUCUUUAUACCAAUUUUCGUUAAUUCUGAAUCUUGAAGUUUCUUCAAUGAUUAAAUGCUACACAACUACCUUGUUCUACAAUUGUUGUCACUGUCAGCCAUUUGUAUUUCAUAAUUCUUGGUUACAUUGCUAUUGGCUCUUAUGCUUAUUCUUUCCUUCUGUAAUUUUUUCUAUUAUCUUUGUUUCUUGUACUUCCCUUACGUCUUGUUCGGGACUGCUUAAGAUUGUUUUUCUUUGAGCCGAGGGUCUAUCGGAAAUGACCUCUCUACCUCUGAGGUAGGUGGAAGGUCUACGUAUGCUCUGCCCUCCCUAGAUCCCACUUUGUGGGACUACAUUGUGUAUGUUGUUGUUGGUUUCUAAAUAAAAUAAAAUGUGGGAAAUAGGUAACUAGAUGUAGCCAUUUCUGUUAGUGAUAAUAAAUAUUAUGUGUUGCAAUAUGUGUAAUUCAGUCUCCUUAGUUAUACUGCAAGUUCAAAAAUAGCUUCUUAUUUUCACAGCUUAGUGUCUUUGUUCUAACAGAAAUUUGAUACAAGAUCAUAGAAAUUAAAAAAGAACACUUGAAAAGCUAUGAAACAUGCUCCAAUACCUGAGGCAUCACAAAGAAAAAUAUUGUUCAUUCUCUCAUCAGUAUGUUUUGCUAACACUUCAGGCCUGUUCUUUCCAUAUACCUUUUACUUAUGUUUAUAUAAGAAGAUCAGCAUGAAUCUAGCUGUGAACAGCUGAAUAUUCAAUCUACAAUUUUAUUCUAAUUUCUUACGACAUACAAUUACUUUUUCAGAUUAGUAAUUUUCAGUUCUGCUUAUUGCUUAUCAUCAAAGGAAAAAAGAGUUCCAAUUCCACUUGUUACAGUUGUGUUGUAAACGAGUGGAAACAGAGGAUUUGUUGGUAUUAUUAUGUCGAAAAACUCAAUUAUUUUCAUUUCAAUAGGUGGGAUAGUAGCUCUGGGGAAGUUUGAUGCACUCCAUAUUGGUCACCGUGAGCUUGCAAUUCAAGCAGCAAAGCGAGGAAUUCCGUUUCUUCUUUCAUUUGUUGGAAUGGCAGAAGUACUUGGAUGGGAACCAAGGUAUAACUUCUGUUCUCUUUUAUCUUUUACUCUACUGUCAUAGAAUGUUAAAUAAAGAAAUAUUAUCUCAGAAGAUCAAAAAGGAGAGGAGGGUGAACUUCGACUUGACUCUCACUGCCACACCCGAGCCUGUAAUAGUACCUAGGAUCAGUCAGAUUUACAACAACAACAACAUACCCAGUAUAUUCCCACCAAGUGUGGUCUGGGGAGGGUAAGUGCACGCAGUCCAUACCACUACCUCAAAUGUGAGAUAGAGAGGCUGUUUGCGAUAGACACCCGGAUCCAAAUAACACAAUCUAAGAUAAGGAACAGUAAAAGAACAAAAUACAAUAGAAAUUAGCAUAUUCAAUAAUACCAUAAACAAGUUAUUCAAGUAACACACCAAAAGAUACAAUAUCCUAAACUCAGUCUAACCUUCUACCCUAAUCCGCUUCCUCCACAACGUCCUAUCCUUUCUGAAAAUACAGAUUUAAAUUCUGAAAAUGCAGUAGGAAAGAGCAUUAUCACAUUCAGGGUAAGUUGCGCGGGUUCUUCACUUUUGAUGCCGCACCCGUGUCGGAUUCUCCAAAAGUAUACUACUUUUAGAGAAUCUGACACACACUCAUUGACAUUUUUGAAGAGUCCGAGAAACAUAGCAUUCAGGGAGUUCUAUCUUGCAUUGUCCAAGUGUGUGUGUGUCUUAAUUUGUAGCAAUAUUCCACAUUAGCUCCUCUGUGAACCCCGUUUACCUCUUUCGACAAAGCACUAGAUUUGUUAAGUAGCACUCUUGACUUAGAAAUUUCUGUAAAUAGGAUGGUCGACCAGAACAUGUGCAAAGAAGGAAUAAAAUAUACUUCAUACAUUUUUAGUUCAUUCAAGUCUUUAACAAAAAGGAUAAAAUAAAGAAAUAAAUCAAGUAAUCUCCACAUCAGUAUGUUUUCCAACAGGAAUACUCAAGUUAAUGUUCUCUCUUCUUUUUCUCCCUGAUUUUAGCGAGAAGUGAAAGUUUGUGAUGAUUCCUUAUAAUCUUUUUUGCAGUAUCUACUGUCUUGUUCUUCAUCUAAAAUUCGAAGUAUGUCUUUAUCACCAUGUUACACAAUCUUGAUUUGCUCCUUGAAAUAAAAUUUUAAUUUUUCCAAACUUUAUUAUACUCAAGUAGUAUGUAGGAUUAGUUGUAGUUUAUUAAAUUUGGUCUUUGAAGCUGGAAGGUGUUUAAACUCUGUCGAAUAUAUCCUCCUAACCUUACUCAAGCUUAUUGAGAAGUUCCUUUUUUCGUUAGUGGUCUUUAUGAAAUGCCACAUCAUGAAAUGAGAAAGAAUCUUUGUUUGAUCAUGUGUAAAUUUUCUACACAGGGUUCCCAUUGUUGCUGCAUGUGAUCGCAAAAGGAUUCUUUCAUCUUGGGCUCCUUAUUGCGGUAAUGUAAUCCCAAGGGAACUCCAGAUAGAUUUUUCAAAAGUUCGAAAUCUUACGCCUCGUCAGUUUGUGGAGAAGCUGUCCAAAGAGCUGGGAGUUCGAGGAGUUGUUGCUGGUAUGUUGUAAUAUCCUAACUUGACAUAGAGAUUCUGAUUUAAGCUAAUAAAAGAUAAAAUGAUGAUGAUAUCUUGAUAAUCUCAGGUGAGAACUAUCGUUUUGGUUAUAGAGCUGCUGGUGAUGUAUCAGACCUUGUGAAGCUCUGUGACGAGUAUGGGUUAGAGGCUUAUAUAAUCAAUUCUGUCAUGGACACUAAUCAAAUUUCCGGAGCCUUAAACUCGCGUAAUGGAAAGGAGAGAGGGCAAGUAUCAUCUACUCGUGUUAGGUAUGCCCUUGACAAGGGAGACAUGAAAUAUGUCUCUGAGCUGUUAGGUCGCAGCCAUCGUCUUGUUUUAAUUAUGGAAGACCAAGAAAGGUUUAGUAGUGAGAGAAAUAGGCUGUCAGCUCCAAAAUCUUGUUUGUUGAAUCUUGCACCCAAGGAAGGUGUUUAUGAGAAUUGUUCCGCUUCGAUUGACAAGAAUGUUAUACCCUGCAGAGUAAUAAUUGAUACAACAGAUAUUCAUUUCGAAUGCUAUGAGGUAGCUAAUUUUUCCUGUAUUACUUCUCGAGAUUUAAAGAUAUUGGGUAUUGACUUUGGUAGUCCAGAGUUAGAUGGGGUUCAAAUUUUGUAAUUCAUUCCCUAUAAUUCGUUAGGGCAACCAUUUUUGAAUGUCCUGCAGUCUUUUAGUAUGAGUACAACUCUUUACGCUAUACAUUUCUGCACAAUUCACAUACUUUUGGAGGGAAUAUAGCUGAGUUUACUGAUAUUCUGAAUGCUAAGAAACUGAUACUAUGACCAGAAUCGAAAUGAUAAUUGAUAAAUGUGCUACAAGAGGGCAUAUAGAAUUAUGAAAUGACUUUUGAUCAUUACCAUACAUAAUGGAUUUUGUUCUAUCACUAUAAGUAGAUUGAUUAGCAUCUUGGUUACUGCUACAGUGUUGCGCUUUCUUUGCUAGAGUAGUUAGCACCUUGGUUACUGUUAACUCUUUCUUUGUUCUUCUUGUAUUCGUUCUCUUUUAUUACAAUUCUGUUUAUGCUUUCCGCCAAUAUCUUUAGUGAAGUCCAUUUCCUUCAAUUGCAGUAAUUGUUGAAAUGUGUGAACCAUCUCAUCUAAAUCUUUGGACUGUUAUAGGGGGGCACAUUUACUUAUUUUUAACUUGCAAGGCAUUUCGCCUCAUCUAAAAUCUUAAAUAACUACUAUAAAAAUGGAACACUUAUUUCUUUUAACUUCGUUUUCUCUCCAACAGUAGUGAAUGCAAUGUCUAUAAUCACUGUUUAUGACCACUUAGUGUGAGCAUGUUUGAAUCUUUAUCAUGAAUUCUUCUUGUAGACUUCUGCUCUCUCAUUCAUGUUAAGAGUUGUUUUACAUGAUUUGCAUUACCGGUCCCUCACUUCUAUGAAUCUUGUUCAUCAUCAUCAAGUGGGUGGUCAUCUGGAAUAUUUUGUUUCAUGGAUAAGGAAAUCUUGCAGCAAUCUUUAAGAGUACUGUUGAGCUAAGAGCAAUGAACUAGAGAGUAAUGUGAGCUAGAGAGUCAUGUGCUAAGGCUAAGAAUAUGAAGCGGAAAAAAAAGGAGAAGACUUAGGGCAGGGAACUUGGUCCCUCUUGCGUUGAUAUGAGUUAUUUGGAGAGAGAAAUAGGAGGGUAAUGGGAAAGGUUGCAUCUCUGUUAACUUGAGGCAAAAAUCUUGUUAGCAGUUUCAAUGGGAAUCCAUAGGUACUUACUGAAAGUGAAGUUCUUCUUUGAAAGAUCGUAAGAUAUCCUACACACUCGGCUAUAACUGGUAACGAGAAGGUUCUGUGACUAAUACUAUAUGUAAAUCACCCUAUGAGAUUGUUUUCUCCACCAAAGCUAUGAUUCUCUUGUCGGUCUUCAAGUUGUUCCUGACAAAUCAGAUCAACAGGAAGGGGCUAGUCGUUGUACUUCUUUGCAGUCCUUUUGGUGUAUAAGGACUUCAGUGAUCUUUCAAGGAUCUUAUAGUCCUCUGUGGGUUUGCUUGACGGGUUGUCUAUUCGCAUCUGGAGUAACAUGCUACUUGAAUCAACAUUUCGGGUAUUCCAGCAGAUGUUGUAAGUUAGAUUUAUGAACUUCUGCUGGCCAGUUUUAGCUAAUCUACAUUCUACAUGGUAGUUUGAUAUCCUCAAGAGCUGGAAAAUUGUUGUUCUUAUGAAGCAGCACGGGGAAUCCUCUUAGCCUCUUUUCUUCAAAACUUGCAUUUUGCUAACAUGAGUCAUUUCUGCAAAUGAAAAACACUCUGAAUAUAUAUUGACAAAUUAUAGCAUCCAACGGUGUGGCCUAGUGGUCAAUGAAGUGGGGUUGAGAACCUGAAUCCCCACAGAGGCAAAAGAAUACUAGGUGACUCUUUCCAUCUGUCCUAGCCUUUGUGGACAGAGCACCUGGUGUCUGUUGUUGGUGGGAGGUGACAGGUAUUCCGUAGAUUUAGUCGAGUUGCACAAAAGCUGGUCUGGACACCACAGUUAUCAAAAAAAAAAAAUUGACAAAUUAUGUCAAUAUAAUGCAUAUAGUAACUUAUUUUUGGAUUUCUAUCACUGCCUGUUGUUUCAGUAUCUUAUUAUCUUGUUGUUGUUCCUGUUUGUUGUUAUUGCCUCUUUCACUGUUUGUUUAGCCGAAUGUCUUUCAGAAACAACCUCUCUAACUUCUCAAAGGUAGGAAUAAAGUAUGCGUACACUUAGUUCUUUGUUUUCUCUAGACCUCACUUGUGG